rnacentral:rRNA from 1 species
UACAACUUUCAACGACGGAUCUCUUGGUUCUGGCAUCGAUGAAGAACGCAGCGAAAUGCGAUAAGUAGUGUGAAUUGCAGAAUUCAGUGAAUCAUCGAAUCUUUGAACGCACAUUGCGCCCCUUGGUAUUCCAUGGGGCAUGCCUGUUCGAGCGUCAUU